GACGAACGCUGGCGGCGUGCUUAACACAUGCAAGUCGAACGGAAAGGCCCUGCUUUUGUGGGGUGCUCGAGUGGCGAACGGGUGAGUAACACGUGAGUAACCUGCCCUUGACUUUGGGAUAACUUCAGGAAACUGGGGCUAAUACCGGAUAGGAUCUCCUGCUGCAUGGUGGGGGUUGGAAAGUUUCGGGGGUUGGGGAUGGACUCGCGGCUUAUCAGCUUGUUGGUGGGGUAGUGGCUUACCAAGGCUUUGACGGGUAGCCGGCAUGAGAGGGUGACAGGCAAAAUUGGGAAUGAGAUAGGGCACAGAAGAGAAGGGGAGGAAGCAGGGGGGAAGAUAGAAAAAUGGGAGGAAGCGUGAGGAAGAAAGGCGGGGGGGGGGAAGAAGGCAUACGGGUGGAAAACAGAUUUCGAAUGAGAAGAAGAGGGAGUGACGGUAAUGGGUAAAGAAGCACCGGCUAACUACGUG
rnacentral:rRNA from 1 species